rnacentral:misc_RNA from 1 species
AAAUCUCACAAAUGAAACAUUUUUUGUUUCAAAUUGUGGACUUGGAUUUGCGAUCCUUGGAUUGAUUGCUAAUCUGAAAUGAAUUUCAUGAAGCUUAACUUGCUUUGAAUCUUUUGCUUAAUAGUUUUGCUUUGUCAAAUCUUUUGCAAUUGAUUCAAAAGCCCAAAAAGUGGAUUGAUUUUACGAAAUCUCUUCUCAUU